AAUCAAGCAAUCUGCGAAAGAACUGGUGGGGGUAUACAGGUGGUGUCUCCGCAAGUGCCUGGUGGAUGAGAACUGUGGAAGGGGUCAUUCCAGGGACUGUAUUAACUUCGAUGACUAAGACCUUUCCACUAUCAACAUCUACAAAUGCAUCGAUCCGGGAAAAUCCUUCCAGCUGUAGUGCGUUUGCGAUCAGUUCAAUAUGUUGUUUACACUUCUCCAAUGACUCAUUACUAAUAAUCGAUAAUGGUGGUGGAGUUAAAUUG
rnacentral:misc_RNA from 1 species